UAUGCACUUGAAUAAGCAAUCUCCUCUUCCUGACUUUACAGGUUUGUUAUGACAGAAAAAGACCUUCAUGAAUCAGCUCAGCACGCAGCAUUCCAUGAGUCAGUUGGCAGGAUUCACAAGAUGAGGAAAGAGAGGUCAUCAUAUGCAUGUGUUGUGGAGAGAGAAAUCUUGAGACAGUGCUUCCUGAUGAGCAACAUCAAAAAAAGGAAGAAAGAACCAUCCCAGGUAGGAUUUUUGUAUGUUUACAUAUUAAAGGAAUACUCAUUCAUUGAAAUGAUCUUUUUUUUUUAAAUUUUUCAGCCAUGCCACAUAACUCAUUUUGUGGCCAGUAGUUGAUGCCAUGCCCACACACACACACACACACACACACACAAUCUGGAAUACAAUGUGAAAACUAAGCAAACAAAACAAAUCCCCAAUAGUGCAAUUCCAUCAACAGAUGAAUGGAUCAAGAAGAUGUGGUAUAUAUACACAAU
rnacentral:lncRNA from 1 species